AGGCAGCAGUGAGGAAUAUUGGUCAAUGGACGAGAGUCUGAACCAGCCAAGUAGCGUGAAGGAUGACUGCCCUAUGGGUUGUAAACUUCUUUUAUAUGGGAAUAAAAUGUUCCACGUGUGGGAUUUUGUAUGUACCAUAUGAAUAAGGAUCGGCUAACUCCGUGCCAGCAGCCGCGGUAAUACGGAGGAUCCGAGCGUUAUCCGGAUUUAUUGGGUUUAAAGGGAGCGUAGGUGGAUUGUUAAGUCAGUUGUGAAAGUUUGCGGCUCAACCGUAAAAUUGCAGUUGAAACUGGCAGUCUUGAGUACAGUAGAGGUGGGCGGAAUUCGUGGUGUAGCGGUGAAAUGCUUAGAUAUCACGAAGAACUCCGAUUGCGAAGGCAGCUCACUGGACUGCAACUGACACUGAGGCUCGAAAGUGUGGGUAUCAAACAGGAUUAGAUACCCUGGUAGUCCACACAGUAAACGAUGAAUACUCGCUGUUUGCGAUAUAC
rnacentral:rRNA from 1 species